GACGAACGCUGGCGGCGUGCUUAACACAUGCAAGUCGAACGGAAAGGCCCUGCUUUUGUGGGGUGCUCGAGUGGCGAACGGGUGAGUAACACGGGAGUAACCUGCCCUUGACUUUGGGAUAACUUCAUGAAACUGGGGCUAAUACCGGAUAGGAGCGCCUGCUGCAUGGUGGGGGUUGGAAAGUUUCGGCGGUUGGGGAUGGACUCGCGGCUUGUCAGCUUGUUGGUGGGGUAGUGGCGUACCAAGGCUUUGACGGGUGGCCGGCCUGAGAGGGUGACCGGCCACAUUGGGACUGAGAUACAGCCCAGACUACUACGGGAGGCAGCAGGGGGGAAUAUUGCAGAAAGGGCGGGAGACUGAUGCAGCAACGCCGCGUGCGGAAUGACGGCCUUCGGGUUGUAAGCCGCUUUCGCCUGUAACGAAGCGUGAGUGACGGUAAUGGGUAAAGAAGCACCGGCUAACUACGU
rnacentral:rRNA from 1 species